GCUGGGCAUGGCUGUGCAUGCCUGUAGUCCCAGCUACUCAGGAGGCUGAGAUGGGAGGAUCACUUGAACCCAGGAAGUGGAGGCUGCAGUGAGCCAGGAUUGUGCCACUGCACUCCAGCCUGGGUGACAGAGUGAGACCCUGUCUCCA
ensembl:misc_RNA Metazoa_SRP Metazoan signal recognition particle RNA